ACUCCUACGGGAGGCAGCAGUGGGGAAUUUUCCGCAAUGGGCGAAAGCCUGACGGAGCAAUACCGCGUGAGGGAUGAAAGCCUGUGGGUUGUAAACCUCUUUUCUCAAGGAAGAAGUUCUGACGGUACUUGAGGAAUAAGCAUCGGCUAACUCUGUGCCAGCAGCCGCGGUAAUAC
rnacentral:rRNA from 1 species